CGGCGGCGGCAGGCCGGCGAGGGAACGGCGACGGCCGCGCGGAGCCGCCGGCAUGAGCGAGCCCAGCCGCCCCGCGCGCCAGGCCGGGCCUUUCUGACCGGAGGUGUGAAGGCACUGCUUGGAGUUACAAUCAUGGUGCAAAAAUACCAGUCCCCGGUGAGGGUGUAUAAACACCCCUUUGAGUUAAUUAUGGCUGUAAGUACCCCACCUUUCCGGUUCCUCUUGGCUUCUUUUCUGAGCUUUGGAGUUGGAUCUGUGAGCCCAGCCUUGCUGUUAUUCUGUUUCCAUGCUUCGAAGCAUUACUUAGAAUGUAUCAGACAUUUUAAACAUGGAAGCCUCUGGAAGCUGAAAUCUGCUUGCUUGUUUUUGAAAACUGCCCCCUGUUUGUGUUGCUUGUCUCUUUAAGAUGCAGAAGUAGCAUUGAGCCACACUUCCUGUUGGUUUUGCUGUCUCCUUUUUCUGCUUGUUACUUUAGAAAAGGGGUGUGGAGGUGGGUUUCUUGGGGAGCUGUGUUUCCAUGAGCACCCUGCUGAUGGGUGUCCUGGGGUAGACGCCUCACUUUAGUCAGGGCUCUGUUGAGUAAGUUUUUCCUCCAGAGUAGAAUCCGCGAGUCACAUGGGAAGUCCACCAGUGGGGUGGCUGACUGUCCUUGUGCACGUCGCUUGGCUCAGUGUGGCCAGAAAUAGGUCUUUUACUAGCUGCAAACUGCAGGCCAUUGCUAGGUUCCUGUGGGGAAUUCGUACCUGCUCAGUGUGGCUGUGGAGGGACAGGCUCCACCAGGCAGCCUGCGGAAGUGUCACACACAAGAGGCACAGGCUGGUGGCGGCUGCCAUGGCCCUGGGGAGGCCCCCGGCCCUGCCCUCAGGCCCUUCACUCGCCCUGUCUGAACUGUUAGCCUGAGUCUCUUCCUGGUGUAGACAAGAGCUCAGGGCCUAUGGCGCCUGUCUGCCCUGCUGGGGGUGGGAAGGGUCUCCAUCAAAGGUGAUAAAAAAAAAAAGCCCAGAUAGGUGAUAGUGCCUUGUAAAUCAGAGGGUUUUUUGUUUUAUUUUGUUUGUUUUUAAGUCUGAUUUGUAUACAGCCAGUGGUGUGCAGUGUGGUCUGACGGAGCAGCCGGCUCUGUCAAGGGGUACAGGGUACAGAGGUUACAGGUUCCCUGCAGCAGGUGGGAGGUUGUGUGCUUAUGCAUGUGUGUGUGUGCGCAUGCAUGUGCAUGUAUGUUCCUUUAAGGUGUCCUGGGGCCCCCCAGCAUGUUUGGCCAGCGCUGCUGUGCUUCCUACUCCUGACUGGAGAGGCUGUUUCCGGUUGGCACGCUGUCUCUACUGCUUUUGGCUCUUGCUCCUCGUGUGGAACAAAGAGCACUCCAGCAGGCUUGAAAAGGAGUUUUGUAUGCGGGACGCAUGUGGCGUGAUAGGAAUCGCACACAGGAGAAAUUCUGGCCAGGCCGGGCUGGGUUCCAGGAGCCCGGCGAGGAGGCCGGUUCCUGGCACGCGGGGCGCAGCGCAGCUGUCCUUGGGGCCUGGCUCAGCAGUGAGGCUCUGCCUGGCUCCUGUCACCCCUCCCCCUUGGGGCGUUUGCUUGUUGCAUUCUUUCAGUUUCUAAGGGAGCAGUUCACAGUCUUGAGAGGGACACUGAUUCCUUGUGUCCCGGGCUGGGCGGGUGCGCAGCCGUGCUGCCUGACCCUGCCAACCGGGAAGGCCUGCCGAGUUGGGUGCCCGAGUUGAGUGUCGAGGGGAAGGCAGUGCCCUGGAAGUGGAGGGAACUGCCCUGCUGCCCGCCUCGCUGAUAGCCUUGAUUGUGUGAAGACAUGGCAGUGACAUGCAAGGAGAGCAAGGGCUGUUUUGGUGUGAAAGUUGAAAUAGUGAAAAUGUCGCGAAAAGCGCUGCCUGGGUCUCAGAAUUUUUGGUACCAAAUUAAACUUAUUUGUGAUUUUCUUUCCCAUGAACCUGUGCGGUGCUCACGUAUUCCAGACCCGUGAGUCCUGCCUUGUCUGCCUCGCUCGUGAACUGACAGAGAACUUGGAGUCAGCCACCGGGGCCGCCCACUGCCCUGCAUGGCCUUCAGACGGCCCUCUGAGGCAGUGUGGUGUUUUCUUUCCGCAGCUUCAGUUUCGAAAAUGGUCUUUACUUGGAAGGUGGGGCUAUGUUUUAUGUUUUCCCCAAACGUCGCCUUUGCAGAGCUGGAAUGUGGCUGCUGACUUCUGCGGCGGCGUUGCCUGCACUGUCAUUGUGUUGUGUGCCAACCUCAGAGUGGACUGCACCUUUUUCUGCUUGAGGGGGAGCACAGGGCCCUGGCAUCAGGCUGGAAGUGAGCCCUCGAGCUCAUCCUCUGUCAGUUCAAGCAGGAACCCUGACUCCAGGGAGACAUCUGUGCCACCCUGGGCAGGAACAUGUGUCUGUGGAAGGCGGAGCAGGCGACAGGAGGCAGCCCUGGCGGGUGUGGGUGGUGCUCAUGCCUGGAGCGGCUGUGUGGGUCCUGUGACUGAGAGAAAAACUGCUCACUCCCUCUAGUGCUCCUGCCUCUGUGUGUGUGUGUGUGUGUGUGUUCUCAAGAGAUUUGUUUGUUUGAAAGAGUUAACAGAGAGGGGGGAGACGGAGAACUGUCAUCUCCUUACUCCCCGGAUGUGGCCGCA